rnacentral:rRNA from 1 species
GACGUAGGGCGCGAGCGUUGUCCGGAUUUAUUGGGCGUAAAGAGCGUGUAGGCGGCUAGGUAGGUCCGUUGUGAAAACUCGAGGCUCAACCUCGAGACGUCGAUGGAAACCAUCUGGCUAGAGUCCGGAAGAGGAGAGUGGAAUUCCUGGUGUAGCGGUGAAAUGCGCAGAUAUCAGGAAGAACACCCGUGGCGAAGGCGGCUCUCUGGUACGUGACUGACGCUGAGACGCGAAAGCGUGGGGAGCGAACAGG